GCCGGGGUGUCGGAACAGGCAGACGAAGACGACUCAAAAUCGUCCGGGGCGACCCCCCGUGCGGGUUCGAAUCCCGCCCCCGGCACCA
rnacentral:tRNA from 1 species